rnacentral:lncRNA from 1 species
CUGUAAUUUAGCAGCGUCAUUGCGGCCAUAUUUUCAAAUGGAACAAUUCAUUCUUCUAAAAAAUCCAUGUUUUAUAUUAAAACGAUGUAUACGAGCGAGUAUCUGGAGAAAUCGAAUUGCCACUAGGAAAGAAACGACGACGGCGAAUUCGGCUGAUUUGCACUGUAUGAACGAGUAUCUGGAGAAAUCAAGUUGUUGAGAAAAGAGUUGCUAGGAAAGAAACAACGAGGACCGACGGCAGAAUUUGUCGAAUUUGCUCUUCGCUCUGACCGUUUGUUUUUUUCCAAUUGUGUCAUCGUCAACUUAGUCUCAUCAUGGUGCUAUCACGGUGCUAUCACGGUGCUAUCACGGCAACACAAUCAAGCAUCCGAAUUGAUCUGCAUUUUCUCAUCGAGACUAUAUUCCGUGCAGCAGUCGAGCUGCCGAUAGAAAGAUGAUACGGCGAAUCCGAAAAAGAUGAAACACAACUGGUCUCUCGUGGAAUUGAGUUUCCCGUAUUUUUGGACGAAAUUCGCCAUGGAAUCAGUGGGGAAAUCACCGCGCUGUAUGUGUACACAAAGUAGCGAAAUUGAUAGCGCUGUGGUCAGCGACGACGAAACUUGACGUCAAUCUACGAGGAAACGGUGAAUCUCGCCUUUUUUUCAUGAACUUUGUGCGCGUAAUCGGUACUACGAACUAUAUAGUUCCGUCGUAAUAUACUGACAAAAUGCGUGUCGGGAGUGCCGUUUAAAGUGUCGCGCGAUUUUCGCAUUCGGAUACGCGUGUGAGUGUCUCGAAGGACCACUGAGGGGAGGAGGAGGAGGAGGCCUAGAAGGCAUCGUGUGACAGCAGAGCAACGAUGCGACCCGAGCUGCAACCAACCGAGUAGUCUCCUCACCGCCGUCUCGCAAGAUUCCCUCUCGCCUGCUAUGCAGCCUAUUGCGGAUACUUAGGAGACGCAGACGUUACGGAUCUGGAACGCGCCCGUAUUCAUCGCACGCAGCAUACGAAGCAUAUCAUCGUUUGCAGAAAUUGCCUGACCGAUCGGAACUUGCACUUUGGAUGUCCUUCGGGGUCGAAAUGAUGAUUACGGCCGAAGGAUCGCUUCGCUGCGGUAGAGCGUCAAUUAGGCAAAUGUGAGAGAAUUUCACCGCAAUCAGACCUGUUGGAAGUGUAUCGAAGUGCUGAUUUACUUAAUUGCAUCUUAGCUACUUUCGAUAAAGUAUGAUCGAUAUCUUCGCACAAUUUCAUGAACAGAUAUACAAUUAUAAGACAAAUUAUAAAAUAUUAAUGUAUAUAAAAUUUUUAGUCGUACUUAUACGUAUUUAUGUUUAGACGCUAAGAAUAUAUCUAUCUACAUACCUGACUUUUCACCACACCACGUGUCUUGUAAUUCUAUUUCGAUUAUGUUAACGAGAUAAGUACGUAUAGAUACCGUCGCACAAGAUAGCGCGAGUACAUCACUUGAUGCGCGCAGCCAAAAAGAAAACUUAAGUGUUGCGAAAGGAGCCGCAGUGCUUUCACACCGAGGUUCACUCACACUGAUCAAUGGUCGUAACACUAUCGAGUAGCAUUGGAAGGUUUGCAGGCGACGCGGCGCUUUGUGAAAACGUUCAUAUUUCUCGUUUGGGGAUAUCGUAGUUUCAUUGAACUCGGCGCGGUGAUAAGUCCGGCGAAGAAACGAGGAUAUCGAGCGUAGGCGGAGAUAAGUAUACGAAGGGAGAUCGCCACCCUGCGAGCUCGGUCAGGUCCGAGCAACGCCGUGGCGAUGACAGCGCGAUAUGUCAAACCAUUGUCCCUCUUCGUUCCCUCGUUAUGUCCCUCUUGUCCCCAUCGUUUUUCUUCACGCCACACAAGAUCUAACUAUGCACGCUGUGCGAGACAAUACGAUCGCGUUACAAUUUCGAAAAAUGUGCUAUAUCGCUCGCAAUAAUGGCGUGAAGUAUGUCACCGAUAGAAAAAUUAAUCGAGGAAUUUGUCAGAAAAUUUUUGUUAUUACAUUGUGUGCAUACUUGUCUACAUAUUUUAGACACACACACACACAAUAAACGUUUUAACCAACUCAAUUUUUUCCGAAAGAGUUAUUUUAUCUAUCCAU